rnacentral:rRNA from 1 species
AGAGUUUGAUCCUGGCUCAGAGCGAACGCUGGCGGCACGCCUAACACAUGCAAGUCGAGCGAGAAAGUGACUUCGGUUGCGAGUAAAGCGGCGAACGGGUGAGUACAGCGUGGAUAAUCUACCCAAGGGUCCGGGAUAACCCCGAGAAAUCGGUGCUAAUACCGGAUAAGACCACGGUAUCCAUGGAUACAGGGGUAAAAGAUUUAUCGCCCUCGGAUGAGUCCACGUCCCAUCAGGUAGUUGGUAAGGUAAAGGCUUACCAAGCCUAAGACGGGUAGCCGGCCUUAGCGGGUGAACGGCCACAUGGGGACUGAGACACGGCCCUGACUCCUACGGGAGGCAGCAGUGGGGAAUAUUGGGCAAUGGGCGAAAGCCUGACCCAGCGAUGCCGCGUGAGGGAUGAAGGCCUUCGGGUCGUAAACCUCUGUCAGGAGGGACGAUGGGACUUUGUCUUGACGGUACCUCCAGAGGAAGCCCCGUGGCUAACUCCGUCGCCAGCAGCCGCGGUAAUACGGAGGGGGCAAGCGCUGCUCGGAANUACUGGGCGUAAAGGGUCCGCAGGCUGUCGGGUAAGUUGGAUGUGAAAGCUCAAGGCUUAACCUUGGAAUCGCAUCCAAAACAGCCGGACUAGAGUCCAAGAGAGCGUUGGCCGGAAUUCCCGGUGUAGCGAGCUGCAAAUGCACUAGAUAUCGGGAGGAACACCAGAGGCGAAGGCGGCCAACUGGCAUUCGGUACUGACGCUCAGGGACGAAAGCGUGGGUAGCAAACCGGAUCAGAUACCCAGGGUAGUCCACGCCCUCAAACGACUGGAUGCUAGGUAGGGGGAAGUUGCUUCUCCCUGCCGUAGUUAACGCANNUAAGCAUCCCGCCUGGGGAGUACGGUCGCAAGGCUGAAACUCAAAGGAAUUGGCGGGGGCCCGCACAAGCGGUGGAGCACGUGGUGUUAAUUCGAUGCUAAGCGAAAAACCUUACCAAGACUUGACAUGUUAGCUUAAGCCCGUGUGAAAGCAUGUGUAGUUCC